GAAUACUACUGUACCUAAAAAGGUCUCUGGCUUAAGAAUAAGUUCAGAGACGCUUGUUUGAACAAAAAUUGUUAACUGCAAAAAGUUUUGGUUAAAAAAAAAAAAAUCUCUUCAUAUUUUGAAGUGAAAGCCUGAUACCAGAAUUUAUUUCUUGUUUGAACUUUUUGAACUUAAAAUGAGAUAAAACUACAGAAAGAUUUUGGUUCUGGAUUUCUUCAUAUUUGGAAGGCUAGUACCAGAAUUUAUCAUUUGAAUUUAGGACUUAAUGAACUGAACAAUAGAUUUCAUUGCAAUGGGACAAUUUUGAGUUUACUUACAGUAAUGACCCAGAAACUGUUUUCUGGGACUGGUUUUGUUACAAAUGGAACUGUUUAAAUGGAAAAGUUUGGGUUUUCUAAUUAGGCUUGAGAUUUUGUUUAAAAAAAAUUAUAAAAAAAAAAUUAAUUAAGUUAAUAUUAAGUUAAUAUUCCUUAGUCUAAUUUCAAAAGUUGUUUGAGUGGAUUAAUGUCAUGUUUUUGUUAGUAAGAAAUGCAAAUGGGGUAUACUAAGAGACUACUUUUAAAGUGUAAAGAGUUUUAUUCUUUUGGAUAUUUUGCUAAGUUUUCAAAGUGUUAAUGGUUAGAUUGAGAAGAUUGCUUUUCAAUAUGGGUUUAUAGGAAUUGUAUAAGUUUGGGUUCCUCUAACUAGGUUUGAGAUUUUGUUUAAAAAAAAGGAGUUAUGAGAUUGAAUUAUGUUUGCAGAAACCUAUUGAUAUUAAUGUACCCUGGUUUUGUGGAGUUAAAGAAAUAUUUAAGUUUGAUGUGAAUACAUUGUUUUUCCUAAGUUCUGUUAGCAAGAAAAUUCAAAUGAUUGAGUUAAAGUUGUAAGACGGAGAAAACUGUUAACUAUAUUUAGCACCAUAUAUGCUAAUUCAAAUGGUUCUGUUAAGAGUUUGCUUUGAGUUGUAAGAUUGAGAGAAUUGUGACUAUGUAUAGCAAUAUUUAUGUUAACCUGUUAAUGGUAAUGAUGAAGCUAAGGGAUUCUUUAAGUUUGUAGUCACCUUAAGAGUUUAUGGUUUAGAAAGGGCUUGAGGCAGCUAAGACUACUGUAGUCACCUUGGACCUAAUUCAACAGAGAAAUGCCAUCUUUAUCAUCAUCUACUCCCAUACUGGGAGGUGUAACAGCUAUGGAGAUUGCUGUAAGCCAUUAAUAGUUAUUUUUUAUAUAUAUAUAUAUAUAUUAAGAAAGGGGGACCUGUGGGAGCCCGUUGUCGGGUUCCUCGUGGCUUUACCCAGCAGGUCUGCAUAGAGGAUGAUUAGACCACGGGCCUAAGUGCAGGUGUCUGGGAUGGUCUGCACUUGGCUGUGCUGGGGGAGGAGGUCUUUUGCUCCACCCCUUGACUUCUCUAUAAAAACCCUGGGGCAGAGACAGUCGGGCCGUUGGAAUAGGUUCCAGGCCCUCUCGAGGCUAUCCUUUGUUUUCUAUCUGUUUAUCUCCGCGAGAUUCUCCGCAAUGGAUCCUUCUAUCUAAUAUUUCCUGCUGCUCGCACUCAAGAAAACUCUGGGGAACUGUGGGGGUGGUUGGGUAAAUGCCCCACAGUUGUUAGAAUACGUAAAAGCAAGAUAUAAAGGUCUGAGGAUAAAAAAGGCUUAAAUAAUGAUUUAAAAAAAUGACUUGAGAUAUAUAAAAAAAAAAAUGAAACAUGUUUCAGAUUUCUUUGUCUUGCUAUUCUGCUGUUACAUUGAGGCUCCAAAGGGUCAUAGUUGUAAAAAUGUCUGUCUACUCUACAGGUAUGAAUGAAAAAUGUGGCCACAUGUAAGUUUGGUUUUGAAUGUCUGAGUUUGCAUGUCCUUUGUGUUAAGGAAUACAAGUUAAUACUAGUCAUCUGGCUAUUCAGAUACUAGUUUAAAGCAUAAACUGUUCUAUUUAAAUAAAAAAAAAAAAACUAAGAGGUAUAUUUGACUAAUAUAUCUAUAGGAGAACAAAUUGGCCUGGUUAUUGUUACCAAACUUAGAGAUAUUUUCAAGAUUAGGCCUAGAUUUGUUUGGCUCAGAUACAUUUAAUAGAUAAUGGUCCUCAAACCUGUCAAAGAUCUGAUGAACAUGGCAUUUACAUUAUUUGAUAAAAAGCUUACUAUAGCAAACAGAGACUCCGAGCUCCCCAGCUCCUAGAAAUGACUCCCAAGGUCUCCAAAGAAGAUAUGGAACAAUGACAAGAAGAUGCCACCUGAACUGCGGACAACACCGACCACUGGGCAAGACGCUCUGACUCAACACCUGCUGCCAGGGAUCUGGCAUAGAAGAAUGGACAAAUGAGACACUGACAAGAUAAGGUCAGUCUUUCUCCUCCACAGGGAGAAUUUCACAUUAUGGGCCCAGCAGCCAAGACUGAUGCUGUCCUGACACCUGUCCUGCCAACACUAUGAAGACUAUAGGAGCCUGGGACGAUGGCAGUCUGGGUUUCCACUUGGCUGACAGAUACAUCCAAGCAUCAUUUGCUGGUGACAUCCUACUGCAAAUGACUGUGAGCCCUGAACUUGCUGAAAGCUGAUAUGGACCAAUUCAGCCGAUAUGCAUACCAUCUCUUCAGCUGGUCAAUAAAACAUUCCCUUUUGUCUUUGAUUAACAUUCUGGCUUUCCAGGGCCCUGACAACAACAUCCCAAUGUCAGCAGGAAGUAAUUACAGAAGAGAAAACAUCGUCCUUGUUCCCCCCCCUGGAAUGUUAGAUCAAAAGGGAAUUUCUUGUUAUAGGGAACCUGAGAUAAAGUUCCAAGUUUCUUGAGGAUAAGAAACUCUGUCAGCCAUCACAAGGCUUUUGGCCCUUGUGCUUCUGCUAAUUAUUGUUGGCUCUUAUAUUACUGAUGUCUUAUUCGUGUCUGGGUACCACUAAACUGAGGAUGCUAGAAUUCCAAUAUCUACCUCUGAACCCAUGACACACUUGAAGAUGGCAAAAACUGAAUAAGGGAAAGCUCGCUUUGCCAUUGAUAAUGGAAAAACUCUUAUGUUCUGGUCCAAUUAGUCUCUGAUAUGAUCUACUACCCUGGUGAUAAAGUCUUUUACCAAAAAGCAACAUCUCCAUGAUUGGAGAUGAUAUACAACUCAAGGGGGGAAUGAAAGGACCAAGCAGAUGCCAUAACUGGCUGCUCAGUCUUCUCUCAGAGAUCAGGCCUCAAUUUCAGUUUCCUGAGACUUGAGCAAGCAGUUUCUGGGAGGACCAUGAACAAAAGACAUAGUCCUUGCAGUAGCUCCCUUUCUGCAUGCACUCUGACUGCUCAAAGUUCAGCCAGAUGUUUACUUUCUGGGGCUCCUCACCAACUUAGAGUUAUGUGCAGUACGUGCUUGGCCAGCCAGCCCCCAUGGUGGCUCAAGGACAAAGCCUGGGACUUGUGCUGGACUGCCCCCAAAGCAAUAAAUUGUAACCACCAACCAGUAAAAGAGAACAGAGAUAGAAAUAAACCAAUCCGAGUUGCACCCGUGCAAAACUCCCCCACCCACCCUGAAGGGCUUGUGGAUUUUGCCUUUAAAAAGCUAGCCACACAAAGAAAAAGCAAGUUCCUCCUGGCCUCACGACUAUGAGUGAGUGCUUUGGAUUGAGCUUCCCUGUCCGCGGCUUGUAAACAAACAGAAAUAAACCAUGCUGUUGCAUUCUGAA